UACGUAGGGUGCAAGCGUUAAUCGGAAUUACUGGGCGUAAAGCGUGCGCAGGCGGUUGUGCAAGACAGAUGUGAAAUCCCCGGGCUUAACCUGGGAAUUGCAUUUGUGACUGCACGGCUAGAGUGUGUCAGAGGGGGGUAGAAUUCCACGUGUAGCAGUGAAAUGCGUAGAUAUGUGGAGGAAUACCGAUGGCGAAGGCAAUCCCCUGGACCUGUACUGACGUUCAUGCACGAAAGCGUGGGGAGCAAACAGG
rnacentral:rRNA from 1 species